CGCGUAGGAACCUGUCCUUUUGUGGGGGAUAACAGUGGGAAACCGCUGCUAAUACCGCAUGAGGUCGUCAUGGGAGACCGUGAUGAAGAAAGGCGAAAGCCGCAGAAGGAGGGGCCUGCGUCCGAUUAGCUAGUUGGUGUGGUAAGAGCGCACCAAGGCGACGAUCGGUAGCUGGUCUGAGAGGAUGGUCAGCCACACUGGGACUGAGAUACGGCCCAG
rnacentral:rRNA from 1 species